GGGGCUGAACAGCAGCGCCCCCAGCGCCGCACUGCCAGCUCCCAGACGCGGGGAACGCCGUUAAAACUAAUUGCUCUCGGCGCUGCGGAGUAAAGGGGCUCCGGGGAGAGAUUUCACGUGAGUAUUUUGGACGGCAGGAGGAGCGCUGAGAGCAGCGAGCGCGGCGCGGUGGGAGGUCCGGGCUCUUGACGCGCCGUUUGCGUAUCAGCGCCGUUACUGCGGCACCGCGCUGUGCUUCGCGCCGCCGUUGUGAGGGGCGCGGCAGCACCGCCCGUACCCACACCUCGUCUGGACGGGGGUUUGUAGCGAUGGUGGUCCGAGCUGAUUAAAUUCAACAGCUUAUUUCACCGUACUGGUAACUUUACUCCGUCUCACACACCCGCACAGCCGAACUCAUUAGUUAUUUAGCAGCAGAGUCUGAAGGAUAGCCCAGUGACGGUCAGGGAUCCCCGCUGCAGGGGGGGGAAAAGGGGAGCAAAUCGCAGUCAGGGCGAGAAGGGAGGAAAAGGAGCGGCCCCGCUUUACGCGGGAUGCACUGCGCCGGGACCGAGCCCCGAGUGCGGGUCAGCACACAGCCGCCCUGCAGGUCAGGCGCUUCGGUCUCCCUCUGACACCCACGGGAAACGCGAUAGAGACUGCAAAGUCGCGGCUCUUUUCCCCUUUCUGGCUCAGGAGCCGUAAUUAAAGAGAAAACGAGGCUCUGUCCUGCCGUAGAGAACAGAGUGGCACAGCUGGUUCUCAUCUCGGCCAGCAGGCUCUGCCCGCAGGCUACCAAGUGCUCAGUAACUCCUACCAAGCUCUGCUUGCAGAUAAAUGAUGUCCUUCUCUCAGCUGCUGCCAGCAAAGCUACAACCACUUGAUCUUUUAUUCUUUCCUCAUAAACUCCUAACACUGAAUACUAAAAAUGCAGCCAGAGAUUUUUUUUUUUCCACCGCCGUUUAUUCUCAGCGUGGCCACAGCUGUAUUACAAUUACAGACACCCACCCAUUUGCUGAGGCUCAACUGCAGUUCCUCGUUAACCUCGAGGCUUCCAAUUAAAGGCUCCUUGAGUUUCACUGAUAGUUUGAACGUGCUCUGAGGACUCACUUCUUUUUCCCUCCCCCUCCACUCAAAACGCAUUCCAUGAGAAGGGCGGCUGCUUUAAGUAACUUAAUGCUGAUUUUCUGGAAAUUGCUGAUGUGUGGGUAUCAGCCCCCAGAAAAGCUUGGGAGAUCCCUCUCACAGCUAUAGCUAUAAAAUACACGAAAGGCUGCCACUAAACACGGCACAACUGCCAGGCAGGUGGAGCGUAGGUUCAGAGCAAUGAAAAGAAAAGCAGCACAUCUCAGUUUAAUUCACGUUUUCGGCGGUGUUUCUAGAGAGAACUUAAAUCUAAGAAGCUGAACCUGAACUAGUUAACAGUUGUGUAGAAAAUGACGUUAAAAAUAGUAGUUAAUCUUGGCAAGGCUGCUCUUCCACCUACCUCCAGUACGUCCAGUGAAGGCAGUGCAGGGUGGAGGCUGAAAACUUGUAAGAAACACCAGGGCUAAUUUUAGAAUCACUUCCAGUCACACAGAAUGAAGCCUGGUGAGCAGCAGUGCAUAUAAAGGUACCCGCACGUCUUUCAAAAGCAAGGCUUAAAAACAAUCAGAUCUUAAAGGUAUAAGGCAAAUACAAACCUACUGAACAACCACGGGGCCUUCCAAGCGUAUACACCAUUCGUAAGGGAUUGCUGGCUUCUGUUCUGGUAGUGCCAGCCCCUCAUCCGGGUGUGUUUGCUGUUUGAGCCAGGUGUGUGGAAGAGAAGAUGGGCACAUUCAAAUCACAUCCACUCAAAUGACGGCCAUUUAAAAACGAUGAGCUGCGAGUACUGUAAAAGGGAACUAUUUGAACUGCUUUCAGGAUAGUGGCACACAGAGAGCAUCGUCUGUACGCCUGCAUCUAUCUGUUACGGGUAGAAUGAAGAAAUGAGUGUAACCUUCCACUGCCUCUUGAAAACAAGCAGCAGCCAAGGUAAGAGAAAAAGCUUUUGCUUCAGCUGUGCAUAAUGUAAAUUGCUCACAUUUUACAAACGGUGACCCGAGUUGUAAGCACUGAAAACAGUGUUAACACUUUGGAAGGCAGCAACCCCAAUCACAGUUCUGGGCAUGUCCAAAUAGCACCAAGUUAAAUUAAAUCCUGUGUUUGAAGUAUUUCCUACUCGAGAGUACAGGUCAAUGAUGCUCUAUGAAAGGAGUUUCCUAAGUCUUUUAUGAACUACAAAGAAAAUGACCCUCUUUUCUUUGAAAUAGGCCUUUUCUAUUUUGAAACUGUGGGAGAAGUCUACUCACAGAUGCACACAGCAAUAGCUUGCUAACUUCAGAGAGGGAGAGGUCAUUGACCAGUGGGAUAACUCAAAAAACAACACCUCCCAGGAGUCAAGGCAAACCAGGUAUCUUUAGCUCAUUUACCCAAUCACCAAAAAUAAACACGAUGAGUAACAGAACAGAGAAUACUUUAGGAAGACUUAAGGUAAAGGGAAAAAAGUGCAGAAGCAGUUUCAGUAGCUGAGAAACUUAUUUUCAACAUUUUAAGACUACAGGAAAAAGUAUUCUAGGUAAUCAACACCUCAAACAUCUCUUUAAGUAGGUCUAAAUAACAAUGUGAAUAUUACAGUAAUCGUCAUACUGUAGUUAUGACAACUUGUUAUAGUUUUACUUUUCUGUAGCUUUUAGAAAACUAUUAUGGCUUAUAAUAUGUAUAUUAACAUAUUAAAAAAACAUGCAAUUCACAAAGGCAAACUAAAACUGCAUUUUCAGCAUCAAUCACUUCCAUUAUGAGAGCAAGAACGGAACACCACAAAGCCCUAUAAAGAAAUCUGAUCAGCCACUUUCAGAUGUGGGCUUCACGACCCUCAGGGUUCCCCCUUCCAGCUCAGGAUAUUCCUGACUGUACACACUCUUUACAAACAAUAACUUACCUGCUAGAGAAGGGAUGCUGCCCAACGAGGUCUCCGUUUUGAAGAUGAUAGUCACUGAAGAAGUCUGGACUCACUGCUCCAUCGGGUGCUAUUAGGCCAUCUAUAAAAACAAGGAAGACAUGGAAACUGUAAGAAGGAGCACAAUUUCAAGGCAACUGGGCAGCAUGCUCUGUGCUGGCUCGUCUCAGAAAUCUGUUAGCAACAUGGAAUGUUUCUGGGAGGAAUGUCAAGCAACAAUAAUACUGAAAGAGAGCGACUUCAGCUACAACAGAAAAUGCACCAGGACUCCACAACUAGCCUACUGCCCUACAAAACAGCUGUACCUAAGGAAAAUUCUCUUACCUCUUCAUCUUAUGGUCUGGAGAGACUAUAUCAAGAACCAUACUGUCUGCCCCAUCAAUGAAAGUGAGCACAGAGGAAAAAGUAAUGAGAAGGGUCAAACACAGGUCUACAGUAACGGCAUAAAAGCAGAAGAGCAACAAAGGUUUUAAUUCAUCAAGACUCUGCCUCUCACCACAGUAUCUUUUAAAAUUGGUUAAAGUAAGCAAACAAGAAGCAACAACAGGAAUGCAGCUUCAAAAUCAAUUUUUUCCCCACAUCUCCUAUUUCAGUGUCUUCUUGCUAUUUAUUUCCUAAAAGAGUGGUCUUAUUACAUGAUGUACAAGAACACAUACUACUCUUUUCUUUUGCUUCCUUCAUGUUAAAAGCAUCAGCAUACGAAGAUGUAAACAUCUGUAAGGCCAGUAGUACUCCUUAAAGGCUUUACAGUCUCAGGGGCUGACAUCUUCCCUCCGUUACAUCAGCGUAAAUCCAGAGCAUCUUUGAAGUGAAGUCAGUGAACUGACCCCAGCUGAAUGAGAGCCCAGCUUAACUCUUUCCUGUUCCCAUCCCCAAAACUCACUCCUUGUUAAUGUUAAGGGCACAGUUAUUACUUGGUAAUAUUAAGCUCUCACUAGGUAAAACAAUGUAAUUAAAACAGAGCCUAUCUUGCCUUGUUUCCAUUAUUGUAUGAAAAUGAGCCGAGCUUUAUAGAGCAGAAAGCAGCCCAGUAAGAACCAGGCAGAAACAGGUACGUUCUGAUGGACAAUUUAAUAGUUUACCAGAGGAGAGAGAUUCCUAAUGACUAGGAAGUUACAAAUGCCAUUCCACUUUAAAGAAAGAGAGAUAAGACCCAGGGAAUCACAGGCCACUUAGCUUAACCUCUGCGGUUUCAAAUCUACUAAAACUGCCUGUGCAGGAAGCAGUGGAAAGUUACUUACAGACACAGGGGCUUAAAGAUGACGACUCAGGCAUUCAAACAAAUCUCCCUGUGCUUUAUGAAUUCACCUGAUGUUUUUUGAAGAUAAUAUAGUGACAAAUGAUGAAAGGAAUAGAAUUGACACAUCUAGAUUUCCAGCAGACCUUUGAUGAGGUGCUACGGAGAUUCAUUUAGAAGAUAAUACCUCAUGGGAAAGUGACCAAAUACAAUGCAACAGAUUGUAAAUGAGAAAUGCUAGCCAUGAUCAGACUACAUUUUAGCAGCAGAAGAUAGCUGCAAAUGGCUAUAUUCUAAUUGUAUACAUGUGCAUACAGUAUGUGAAAGGGUAUUACUUGACAAGCAAAUAUUCUGGCACAGAUCUGUAUUACUGUCUUUCAGCAUGUGCAGAUAGACACGAAUGCUCUGUGAUAGGACCAAAGAAAAGGGAGGAAAGCUGAAAUGACUGUUAUUAACAUGUGCCAAGGUUUCCUAUCUGUGUAUUUUACACAUCAGCAUUUUUGCACUUGGAGCAUUUCACAGGAAAAACAAUCAAACUAAGUGACUGUUUGAAAUGGGUGAGGUUAAAACUUAAUGAGUUUAUCUGCUUUCAAAUAUCUCCAUUUCUUUCUAUCAAUAAAACAAGCAUUAUAUUUUCACUCUGAGACCAGAGUUACCACUGCUUAAAAUGUCUUCACUCAAGAGCGCUAAGACUCAAGCCAUAGCGCUCAGAGUUAUGGCUCCCAUGAAUUCAAAUGAAAACGGAAGCACAUGGAUACCAUCAGCAGCAUAUAAUGUGAUUACAGUUAAGGGACCAUCUGUUGUUAUGUACAUUUCAACACAAAUUAGGGUUAAGUACCUUCAAAGCAACGGAGACACCGAACUCAAAGGUAACUCCAGAGAUUCUACCAAGUUUUUGAGGUGGGGUUAGAUCACUUUUCAAGAGAUAUUUGAUGCAUCAUUCCAAUAGAAACUCACCUUGUCAACAGCAAACUAAUAUUGUUACAGCUGCAGACAGAUAUGUACUGUGUGCGACCUAUCAGCACAGGUCACCAAAAUACAAACACGUCACUUUUGACUCCACAGAAACUACUAUUUUUUCCUCAUUUCUGACCCCCCAACGCUCUGUCCUUCACAAACCCAAAUGCCUACUCCAAGUGGUACAACAGUCUGUAGCCUUUUUAGAGAAAAGUUAUGUCCCUUCUGGCCACAUCUCAAAAGUAUAAAUCUGGCAGAGUUUAGAAGCACACCAUUACUGGCACUCGCUGGAAGGAACCUGAGAAGGGAAUCUGCAUUUUGAAUAUAUUCCCUUAGUCUUAUACUUUCUAAAACAAAAGCAUUUUUCAAACAUCUGCAGAACAUAUCACUGGAAAUCUGCCCCUCCUUACUGGUCAAGUAGCAAUUCCAACACAAAGAUCUUUGUUCAGAUAACGUUAAGCGUGUAGCAUAAAUGGUUAAAAACCAGAAAACUCAUUGCUAACCAUGACACUCCAUUUCUAGCUCAUACUGUUUGGAAAAGAAGUGGCCCUGUGAAAUGAGCAAAGGAUUGCUGCUUGUAAAGCAGACACCACAACAGGCCCACUGUCACAUCUCUAACUCAGGAAGCCUGAAAAAGACUUGAUGUAAUUAGAGAACCUGGUACCAUACUACGCAUGGCUUACACGGCUCAUCUUGAAGGUCCAGUACAGUGAAAUAAAGCUGUAGGAUUCAAAAAGGAAAAAAAAACUUACCACUACAGAGUCAAGUUGCUACAGCUGACAUACGUAACCACAGAGAUGAAUAAGAAUCCUUAAAUUCUGAUAUAUUUUGAGAAUAAUAUUUGAAAUGCUACUGAGAUACUGCAUAUUUCUUUUCUCACAGUAACUACAAAUAAAACCACUGAAAUCUGUAAGCUUUAUUUUUCUUACUAAUAUUCCUGCAAAUUCAUCCAGAGUCAGAGUUUUGUGACUCAUACUUCAUAGCAAAGGACUGGACACUGGUAUGGAAAAUUCAAAAGCCACACGCACAUACGCAGCUAUGCAGGAGUUUGAAAAGGAAAUAAAACCACAAGCUUGAGAGCACAAGCCAACCCCUAGUUGUUAAAGGUUCUGAAGACAUUUGGGCAAGUUAUUUCAUAUGUAGCUGUCUGCAGGGUGAUACUGUACCUGGAAGGGUUGGCAAGAGCAACCCCUGGAGAGAAGAUACUGGACUAGAUACAUCAGUGGCUCAAUCCAGUAUGCCUACUUCUAUUUUCUUACUACAACAUCUUUACAGAGAGAAAGGGCAAAUUCUACGAGAUCCCCCAGAGCUACGCCAGGAUGCACUAUUAGUGGGAGUAAGCUACUAUUACUCCUCUUAUUUCUUCUAAAGGAGUAACCUUCAAUAUGAAAAAGUCGAUUGAAAAAUUGAAAUUGAGUCUUCUGCAGAUUAUCAAGUAAUGAAACUUUUUUCAUACAAUGAUCUCAAAAAAAACCCAACAGAAUUUACAUUAGAAAUUCAUGUGUCUUUAUAUAUAUAUGACAGCAUUAUUAGACAAUGAUUCACAGAAUGAUUGCUUCUGCUCAGAAACAUACACAUCUGAUGUGGCUCAAUUGAAGUCUUGCAUCAAGUUCUGCAAAAAAAGUUCCAUUACAGAACUAAAACAAGACAGAACAAAAUGCAGCAUCAAAUCCCAUAGUCAUACUGCUCUGUGAAUUUAACAGCAAUGAGAAAAGGUUUGUGUUUGGUUAAGCAAACAAGCUAUCAAUGUAAGAGAGAGCUGUGAGGGAACACAGCUGGGCCUUCAUUUAGAUCACUAAUCAUGCUCUCCCAGCUGAGGCAGACCUGUUCACAUUUCUAAGGACCUGCCACACUUUGUACUCCACGUGCAUGUAAAAACAGCACUCAAUUCUUCAUUAACACCUCAGCAAGGACAAACAAAUCCCCAGCAAAUAGGCAUCAGCGCUGCUCCCACUGACACACAGAGACAGCUGUACCACUGGUCUGAGCAUUCGUCCUACAGCAACAGGCCAGAUCCUGGUUUCAAGUACAGAGAUAGCUAUCCCAGCUCUGAAUACUAAUGCAUGCUGCUUACCUGCAUUGUAGUAGAGAUCAGGUCUUUCCAGAAUAUCUCCUUCGUGGAUGUAGGGCUCAAUAGGAUCAUCCCCAUACAGAUACUGCUCACUGUCAUCCAUCUGCCGACUCUCCACCAUCUCCAGCCACUGAGAGUUGUGCCAUCGAAAUUUCUCACUCUGAAUUUUUUUCGCCCAUUCCUCAUCAUAUUCCUGUUAGUAAAAAAAAAUAAAACUAAAAAUGACCACACAAGAGGUUAUGAUGAAGAAUAGACAAAGACCUGUUUGGUUUAACAGGAAAUAGCAGAGGAAUUUAACAGCAGCAAAAGAUUCAAGUUUCAGCACUCAGUGACUUAAAUCUUUUAAGUGUGUAGAAUACUUUGAGCUAAAAAGGCAAUGAUUUUCCAAACACUGGGCCUCAUUCUGGUUUUGUACGUGCAGCAGCAGUACAAUCUCCCCUUCACAGUUUGUAACUCUGCACUGUCCAGAAAGUUCUCCUGCUUUGAGCAAGGGAGUUUCAUCAUCGUGGUCUCCUCACCUGGAGUGUCAAGAAGAGCCUAUUACUGCCAAUUUUCAGAGGGACUGCAGGAAUUAAACACUAACACUGUCCAAAUACUCUGUUUGAUCUCAUUAGACAAGCAUUCAUUACAGAAUCAUAGAAUGGAUUGGGUUGGAAGGGACCUUUAAGAUCAUGUAGUUCCAACCCUCCCGCUAGGCAGGGACACCUCUCUCUAGACCAGGUUGCUCACAGCCCCAUCCAGCCUGGCCUUGAAUGUUGCCAGAGAGGGGGAAACCCAUAACCUCUGUGGGCAAUCUGUUCCAAUUACUCAAAAAGAACAAAAAAUGCCGUGAUAAAACCAGUUAAAAGUCUUUGUUUCACGAGCACCAGAAAAUCAGAAUUUAAUUCUCAGCUUCCUGUCAAACUUCAAGAUAGAUUGCUACUUUUAAUACUGAACACCCACAAAAUUGGCACACAACAUUCAUGAAUAGGUUAUUGGAAAAGCAAAGAAAACUGAAGCCAGAGAAGAACUUCUGCAGAACGCUGAGGGAAACAGGAUAUAGGUAUAGGCUACUAUGGAAACAAAAGGUAGUCAUGAAAUUUCAGGCUGGAAUACAGCCUAACUGCACUCUCUGAUGAUGUGAUAUUCAAUAUAAAGGAAUAUCAGAAGGAAAAGAUAUAGCAGGCAGUGCAAUCAGCUGUUUAGAAGGCUCCUCUAAGCAGACCAGACUGUCUGGGCUGUUGAUUACCACUGAGCAAUCACAGACCUUGUAAUACUCAAAUUUUCAAUACUGCUGGAAAAAUAGGACAACUAAUAUGUUCAUGUGUGCCUAUAGUUAAAGUUGCAGGUGGUAUCAAUUUAAGAUUCACAGAUAAGGCACAGUGGCUAUUACCUCUUUUAAUCAAAGAAUUGUGACUGAGAAUUCAUAACCAAUAAAGUGUUUCUAUUUGUGGGAAGCAGCAUCCUUGUGAUGCAGAUCUCAGCACAUCCCCCUCACUGCCUUCUAACUUAACUCCAAAAGAGACAGAAAAUGAAAAUCAUUUCUUACCUCAAGAUAGUUAACAUAUGCUCUAGACAGACUUCCCUCGGAGAUCUAGCUGGAGCACUUUAAGGUUUUUAAAAUCCAUUUUACUUAGCCCAGAAGGGAAGAUUGUUCAUACAGUUAACAACAACGUCUUGGCCACAGAAGUGGUAAUUUCUUAAACUGCUCCAGCUAGACAUGCAAAAGUAGAUCUGUCUACAACCUGAGGUCAAAAAAUAGCAGUGAAGACAGAGUAAGUUGGCUUAGUAACUCAGGUUAAACUUCUAAAACCCCUGCGGACUGAAUUUGAGCUUUUAAACUUACUUAAUAGUCAGGAUACCUUGUCUUCACUGCUGCUGACCUGACAUGGCUACCACACUGCCUAUCUAGCCUUUGCCUUUCCCACCCUUCUGCCUGCUGGUAACACAAAAACCAGCUGGUUCAGCCCCUCUGGCAGAGUAUUCCCCAACACUGUUAACCAGCCUAUCUCAAGGCUCCAAGAUUCCACAGGGAAUCACGUUUCAUUGUACAACCACAAACAAUUAUGCUAUAGCAGUGGGUUUUAAAAUCAUUUUACUUAGAGGAACAACAACUUUGUUUCUCCUGGCUUACAGCAGGAGGUGAGCUCCUUUCUGAUGGGACAUCCACACACACCGCAAGUCGGGGGCCUCAUCAGUCUGUGGUAUCAUUCUUUAUUUCUCAGAAUCCACCUCUGAUCAGCAGCAGUAACAUGAUCUUUUUAAUUCCCCUCUGCACCACCCUGGCACUCAAGCAGUUCUGUUCAACACCUGCUCUCAUGCACAGAACAAGCAUCACCUGUGGGAUCUAUAGAGGUUCCCAGUCCCUGCUAGCCUCCAGCAAAAUUCCAAGUUCCUGUCAACCGUACAGUAAUGCAGUAUCCUUAGGGAGGAAAACAAACCAACCAACCUCACACCUCACACCAUUAGGAAAAAGAACACCUCGUGCUGUUUCUGCUUCUUGAUAUUUCCCCCCCACACACUUGGGCUCUCAAUUAAACGGAAAUCCUGGAGUGUUCCCUGGGAAAGGAAGGCUCAGCAUCAACAUCUAUAAAAUGACCCAGAAAAAAAAAAAUGAAAGCAGGAGUUUCAAUGCCACCCGACAAGCAUCUUGGAAACAUCUACUUUGCUGCAUCUGCCAGAGCUAAAACGUGGACUAUUAUAUCAGCCCCCAGCAGCUGUGAAUUACUUACAAGCUUUAGAGAAACACCUUGUAACUGCCAGAGAUCACACUGUAGUCUUAGCAAAACUAUUCCCAGAAAUCACAAUUGCAAAGAGGUGGAAGAAAGAAACAAAUUUAACAAACUGCAAAUUAGAUUAAUCCAUGGGAAAGCCAAAUUCCUUUCACAUUACCUUGUUUACUUCUAAAAGUUCCCAAAAGCAGAAAGGCCAAGAGCCGAAUCUCUACUUCACAUUUACCAUCAGUGCACUUUGAAAACAGGUCAACCUCCCAGAAAUUAAAAAACAAAGGAAUCCCAUUUAGCCAAUACCACUGUCCCAUUCCACACUGCUGUUCAAAUCAGUUAACACCUCUCAGAUUGUUUAAUUAUUUUUAUUUUGACAGCAAAAGAUGGAAUACUCCUAUGCAUUCUACAUUUCUCUUCUUACAUUACGAGGCUUCAAACCUGCAGGUAUUUCCCCUCAAUCAUCCAUAAACUUUUGGAAAGCACGAUGAGCAACUGACUGGCAAAUUAGUGGUUAAGAGAAUGGACAUAGUUUCACAUUACUUACAGAUCCCAAGCUACCAGUUCAAACAGUCUAGUUUUUGGGUCUGUAACCUGCACUUCUCUGUGAAUGACCAACACGAACAAAGAGAUGGCCAUGCCAGAAUAAGAUCAAUGAUGAGCUGUAUCAAGGGUUUCAUCCUGGCAGCAAUCCUAGAAAAGGAUGAUUUGCAGCAAUCUCGAAUGAUUUACAUAACCUCAACACAAAAAAGUUCAUUUAAGUACUGCAUGAUCAAGGAUAUGUCUGUAAAUUUUCCACAGAAAUGUGCAGAAACACCACUGGGUAAAUGAUUAAUGGAAUAACAUCAGAAUGGAAGAAAAGCUGUAAAUGCAGGACUACGGCCAAAAGGCACAAAGAAACCAAAUUAAAGAAAUUUAGGACAAAACAAUUCCCUAAAACACAGUAAGGCUUCCAGUAAUUAUAUUUUCAGCUAUUAAAAGCGCCGUCUUGAAACUAAGGAAUGCCUGCAAAAAUUAAACCAGAAAACUAAACAUUAUGGAGACAAACACAGCUUUGUCCCCUCCAGUGCUUUUGAACACCACUCCACCAGAAAAGCGGCGGAUGGAAUGUGCCCAUUCUCCACCCCUCACCCCAAAUACAGCACGGGCAGUAACAUAAACGGAGGAAUCCUGAAGGUUGAUUUUAUUCUCUUUGGAGCUCCCUGACAUCACUGUUUUUAACAUUCGGUUUCCAUAAAUCCAGAAGUGACACGGAAGAUGUAUGGUUUGACUCUGCAAGGAAUGUGCCAUCCUUUUUGAAGUUCUGCUUCCAACUUUGUUUACUACUGAACCAUUGAAAUAUUAUGAAGCGUUAACUGGCCUAUUAUCAGAGCGUGUCUGUUCCCUAUCAGGGGUCCCUUUUGUCACUGGCUUCCGUCACACCUUGUAUCUGAUUAACACACUAUAGGAUAACAUAGAGCUACACAGAUCUGCUUUGUGUUCUCUCACAGCUGAUGAAAAACAGAUUUUCCUUUUCACUUUAAUGUGGUUGCCCUUUAAUUGGGUCUGUAAUAGGGUUCAUUUGAUGCGAUUCCUCAUACUGAACUAAAACUGCUAUACAGUAAGUUGAAUGUUCAUUACGUUUAAGGCCAUAGUCAGUAAAGUGAUAUGUUACAUUCUUCAUUAUUUAAACAUUCCUAAAACAGAGUUUACAAGAAAGGUUAAAUUAACCUUUUUUUUUUAUUAUUUAAGGAAAGAUUUAUCUUGUCUAGCUAACCAAAAUUCAGGCAGGUAAUUUAAACUCACCUCUAUAAAGCAAGGAUAGAAACAGAUGGUAUGGAUCCCCUUCUGUGGGUGUCUAUGAUGCCUACUUUAGGCUAAGUAGUACCAGAGGGCAAUUCAUUAACAGGUCAAAAAACCCCUAUAACUUCUGCUGGCACAGCUCAUGGCUACUUCUCAGCAAGUGGGCUCAUCACUAAAUAUAUGCUGAUAGCAGACCAGUAAAAACCUACAAAAUGAAAUUAAUGGCAAAGUAGCAAAAAGAAGAAACGUUCAUGUCCCCUACGUUUAGGUGUCUACAUUAAAAACACACUUCACACAGGAUUCCUAUACUGUCAAUAACUGAAGAGUUAAGUCUCUUUUCCUUGAAGAAAUCAGAGGUGUCUCAUUGACCAACUGUUAUGUAAGUAAAAGAGACCACUGGUUUGGCUCACCUUCUUAGUUUUUCAAUCCCAAAGAGCAAGCACCAAUGCUAGAAGGAAAUCUGUAUGGGCAGGUUUAUGUAAGACGAAAGAAUUAGAACCCACGUGCCCUGACACUCCCUGUAGUGUGGAUAUUUUUCUAGUCCACGUGGAGUCUUUCUGAUGGAUGCUCUUUGCCACAAAAAGCUACCCGCACCAAAGUGGACUGAUGUCAAAUUUUAUAAUGCAGAAGUUGAACAAUGAAAAUACAAGUCAGCACUAUGGCCAACAGUCCCACACCCUACUUGCUCUACUGCCCCCCUCUCUGCCUUCAGGAUUGUUAGAAGAUAACAGAAGUACGACAGCAUGGAAAUAAGGAGCCUUGACAAAUAAAGGUAGAAACUCUUUUCCUGGAGCGAGUACAGCGCUCAUGGAAGGAGGACACCAGGCUGGAGUCAAAGGUUAUCUGUUUUCAGAAUACGGUGCCUAUUCAAAUAAAGCCCAUGCCAAAUCCC